AUGCAAGUCGAGGGGCAGCAUCAUCAAAGCUUGCUUUGAUGGAUGGCGACCGGCGCACGGGUGAGUAACACGUAUCCAACCUGCCGACAACACUGGGAUAGCCUUUCGAAAGAAAGAUUAAUACCGGAUGGCAUAAUUAUUCCGCAUGGGAUAAUUAUUAAAGAAUUUCGGUUGUCGAUGGGGAUGCGUUCCAUUAGGCAGUUGGCGGGGUAACGGCCCACCAAACCUACGAUGGAUAGGGGUUCUGAGAGGAAGGUCCCCCACAUUGGAACUGAGACACGGUCCAAACUCCUACGGGAGGCAGCAGUGAGGAAUAUUGGUCAAUGGACGAGAGUCUGAACCAGCCAAGUAGCGUGAAGGAUGACUGCCCUAUGGGUUGUAAACUUUCUUUUUAUACGGGAAUAAAAGUUAGCCCACGUGUGGCUUUUUUGUAUGUACCGUAUGAAUAAAGGAUCGGGCUAACUCCGUGCCCAGCAGCCGCCGGUAAUACGGAGGGAUCCCGAGCGUUAUCCGGGAUUUAUUGGGUUUAAAGGGAGCGUAGGCCGGGUUGUUAAGUCAGUUGUGAAAGUUUGCGGCUUCAACCGUAAAAUUGCAGUUGAUACUGGCGACCUUGAGUGCAACAGAGGUAGGCGGAAUUCGUGGUGUAGCGGUGAGAUGCUUAGAUAUCACGAAGAACUCCGAUUGCGAAGGCAGCUUACUGGAUUGUAACUGACGCUGAUGCUCGAAAGUGUGGUAUCAAACAGGAUUAGAUAC
rnacentral:rRNA from 1 species